GAAGCUGACCAGACAGUCGCCGCUUUGUCGUCGUCCCUCUCUGAGGGAGACGGGCAAAGGGGAGGAAAGUCCGGGCUCCAUAGGGCAGGGUGCCAGGUAACGCCUGGGGGGGAAACCCACGACCAGUGCAACAGAGAGCAAACCGCCGAUGGCCCAGUAAUGGGAUCAGGUAAGGGUGAAAGGGUGCGGUAAGAGCGCACCGCGCGGCUGGUAACAGUCCGUGGCACGGUAAACUCCACCCGGAGCAAGGCCAAAUAGGGGUUCACAUGGUACGGCCCGUACUGAACCCGGGUAGGCUGCUUGAGCCAGUAAGCGAUUACUGGCCUAGAUGAAUGACUGUCCACGACAGAACCCGGCUUAUCGGUCAGUUUCGACU
rnacentral:RNase_P_RNA from 1 species